CCUACGGGUGACAGCAGUGAGGAAUAUUGGUCAAUGGGCGAGAGCCUGAACCAGCCAAGUCGCGUGAGGGAUGACUGCCCUAUGGGUUGUAAACUUCUUUUGUAUGGGGGUAAUAUGCUUUACGUGUACUGCUUUGACUGUACCUUAUGAAUAAGCAUCGGCUAACUCCGUGCCAGCAGCCGCGGUAAUACGGAGGAUCCGAGCGUUAUCCGGAUUUAUUGGGUGUAAAGGGCGCGUAGGCGGGUUGGUAAGUCAGCUGUGAAAGUUUUGGGCUCAACCGGAAACGUGCAUUUGAGACUGGCAUUCUUGAGUGUAGGAGAGGCAGGCGGAAUUCGGGGUGUAGCGGUGAAAUGCGUAGAUAUACCGAAGAACACCGAUGGCGAAGGCAGCCUGCUGGACAGUAACUGACGCUGAGGCGCGAAAGCGUGGGGAGCAAACAGGAUUAGAUACCCUAGUAGUC
rnacentral:rRNA from 1 species